UGGGGAAUAUUGGACAAUGGGGGCAACCCUGAUCCAGCCAUGCCGCGUGUGUGAAGAAGGCCUUCGGGUUGUAAAGCACUUUCAGUGGGGAGGAAAGGGUGUACAUUAAUACUGUGCAUUUGUGACGUUACCCACAGAAGAAGCACCGGCUAACUCCGUGCCAGCAGCCGCGGUAAUACGGAGGGUGCAAGCGUUAAUCGGAAUUACUGGGCGUAAAGCGCGCGUAGGCGGUUCAUUAAGUCGGAUGUGAAAUCCCCGGGCUCAACCUGGGAACUGCAUUCGAUACUGGUGAGCUAGAGUAUGAUAGAGGGUGGUAGAAUUCCUGGUGUAGCGGUGAAAUGCGUAGAUAUCAGGAGGAAUAUCGGUGGCGAAGGCGGCCACCUGGGUCAAUACUGACGCUGAAGUGCGAAAGCGUGGGGAGCAAACAGG
rnacentral:rRNA from 1 species